rnacentral:pre_miRNA from 13 species
AAAUUAAAAUCUGAAAUGGCCACGUGUAUGCUCGUAGCUAUAACCUGAACAAUCAAAUGUUAUUGCUUGAGAAUACACGUAGUUAACAAGAUUGCCUCAAC